GCCAGUGUGGUGUAGUGGUCUUAGUGUUGGAUUAUUACUCUGGAGACCUGGGUUUGAAUCCUUGCUCAGCCA